CUAAACAGGUGUCUGUGGAGGGCGCACCUGCUUAGCAGGACACAGGGCCCAUUCCUAACCUUGGGGGCUCCCAGUCUGGUGGUGGAGACAUAGUAAGCAAGGGGUGACAGUGCUGUGGAUAAGCUGUCCCGUGUGAAACCAGGUAAUGGACAGCUCAAUGCCGCUGAUUGGAGAGCAUGUGGAAGAGGACAGACAGCUGAUGGCCGACCUUGUUGUCUCCAAAAUGAGCCAGCUCCCGAUGCCAGGAGGCACAGCGCCCUCCCCCCUCAGACCUUGGGCUCCACAGAUUAAAUCAGCGAAAUCCCCAGGGCAAGCCCAGCUGGGGCCUCAGCUAGGACAGCCCCAGCCACGCCCACCUCCGCAAGGAGGCCCUCGCCAAGCUCAGUCUCCUCAGCCCCAGAGAUCUGGAAGCCCCUCCCAACAGAGGCUCUCCCCACAAGGCCAGCAGCCCCUGAGCCCCCAGUCCGGAUCUCCACAGCAGCAAAGGUCACCAGGCUCUCCGCAGCU
rnacentral:sRNA from 1 species